rnacentral:rRNA from 1 species
UACGUAGGGUGCAAGCGUUGUCCGGAAUUAUUGGGCGUAAAGAGCUCGUAGGCGGUUUGUCGCGUCGGCUGUGAAAGCCCGGAGCUCAACUCCGGGUCUGCAGUCGAUACGGGCAGACUUGAGUGUUGCAGGGGAGACUGGAAUUCCUGGUGUAGCGGUGAAAUGCGCAGAUAUCAGGAGGAACACCGGUGGCGAAGGCGGGUCUCUGGGCAAUAACUGACGUGAGGAGCGAAAGCGUGGGGAGCGAAACAGG